rnacentral:rRNA from 1 species
AUUGAACGCUGGCGGCAGGCCUAACACAUGCAAGUCGAGCGAGCGGCGGACGGGUGAGUAAUGUAUGGGAAUCUGCCCGAUGGAGGGGGAUAACUACUGGAAACGGUGGCUAAUACCGCAUACUAUCAGAUGAGCCCAGAUGGGAUUAGCUAGUAGGUGGGGUAAAGGCUCACCUAGGCGACGAUCUCUAGCUGGUCUGAGAGGAUGAUCAGCCACACUGGAACUGAGACACGGUCCAGACGCCUACGGGAGGCAGCAGUGGGGAAUAUUGCACAAUGGGCGCAAGCCUGAUGCAGCCAUGCCGCGUGUAUGAAGAAGGCCUUCGGGUUGUAAAGUACUUUCAGCGGGGAGGCGUUACCCGCAGAAGAAGCACCGGCUAACUCCGUGCCAGCAGCCGCGGUAAUAC